GAAGGUUCACAGAGUUAGAACCUGAGGGUUCACAGAGUUUGGGUGCACGGACCCAUAGAGUUAUGGCCUCGAGUGGCUAAUAUGUGUUUUAUGUGUGGUAUUUUGGGGAACUCACUAAGCUUUGUGCUUACAGUGUUAGUGUUGUUGUUUCAGGUACUAGCGAUGACCGUGGGAAGGCGCCGGCUUGAUCUGUACACACGUAGAGGAAUUCGAUAUAAUUAUGUGAUCUUGGGAUUUGUAUGAUACAUAUUGGAAUUUGAAAUUUGAUGUUUUAUGAAAUUAAAAGAGAAAUGCUUUUAUAAAUUGUGAAAAAUAAAUUUUAAAAUUUUCGGUGUUACAAGUUGGUAUCAGAGCCUUGGUUUGAGGGAUUCGAGUACACCUUCGGGCGUAUUUGAACUCAAACUGAGGAUUUGAGAUGUAUUUUCAAAAAGAGUAAAAGAUUUUCGAAAAACGCAGAGCAAGAGAUGUGUGUACGAUCAGUCAGCGCCCGAACGGUGAUUUCCCAAAAUACCUUUAUAUAUUAUGUGAUAUUGAUAUUGAUAUGAUGUAUCCGCAUGCUAGAGUAGGCUAGGUAUUGCUAUUAGGACUAGAGUGGCCUGAUGUGUGAUGCCUUAGCCUAGAGAGAGGUGAGCUGCUAUGAGAUGCUUGAGAGUGAGUAGGUAGCAGCAAGGGACUUAUGAGAAAUCUAUUAGAGAGUAGUCUAUGCAUGAUAAAGUACUUGAGACCUGGGAUCCAAAGAGAAGGACUUGGAGUGUAUUCUGGUGCGGUGCGGACAGUAGUAUUGGGCCCGUACUACUGGAAGCACCGGAGCGGUGUGCAGCCCAAGUCAGAAUCUUUGGAAUGCCAAGAAUCAAGGAGAAAAGAGUUGUCGAGUGUGAGCAUACUCGUGUGGAUUCUAAUUUAUCGUAUGUUGUAUUUCAGAGGUAGAUCAUGGUGAGGACACGUUUGAUGCCCGAGAGCAGUGGUACCAGUGAGGAGGAGAUCCGCCGGAUCAUUCAGGAGGAGGUGGCUGCGGCCAUCAGGGCAGAGAUACCGGAGAUGUUUGGGUCUAUAAAGACCACCUUGAUUGAGACGUUUGAUGAGCGUUAUGCCGCUCUUUCUGAGGCUGCUGCUGCAGCGGCUACCGCAGCGAUUGCUGCUGCGAGGCCGCAGGGUGGGGAUGCGUUGCUGUUCCGUGAGUUCAGCAACACAAAACCACCAGAGUUUGAUGGUACUCAGGAUCCGGUGGCAGCUAUGAGGUGGAUAUCUGAUAUUGAGGGGUGUUUCUUCACUUGCUCGUCUCCUGAGCAUUUGAAGGUACGGUUCGCGCUGAACCAGCUUCGCUUGGGAGCGAAGGACUGGUGGAAGUUUGUGACAGCGCAUUAUUCGCCUGCUGAGCUUUCUGCGGUGACCUGGGAGAGGUUCACCACUAUGUUUCGGGAUGAGUACGUUCCCCAGGUGGAGAGGGAGCGUUUAGCACAGGAGUUUCUGACCCUCAAGCAGGGUACUGAGUCUGUUACAGCGAUCACGAGGAUGUUCCACGAGAGGGCGAUGUUCUGCCCUGAGCACGUGUCCACUGAGCAGGCACGUAUGAGCCGCUACUUGAGCAUCUUGAGGAGGGAUAUUCGGGAGUUCGCUGCGAACUCCUCGUACCGGACAUUUGCCGAGCUUCAGGCAAAUGCCCGGAAGAGGGAGAUUGAGCUUGAGACCCAGGCCAGGGAGGAGGCAGAGUCUCAGGGGAGGGAUCGGCGACCGGCGUUGUCGCAGCCGGCCGCCAAGCGGGCCAAGCCUGCUGAUCCCAGACCAGGGAGCCAGAAGGGCCGCACUUGCGGAAAGUGCGGCAAGGGUCAUGACGGAGUCUGCCGAGCAGGGUCUUGCUACAAAUGUGGCAAGGAGGGGCACAUGGCCAAGGACUGCCCCAAGGGGUUUGCAGUGUGCUUUCACUGCAACCAGACCGGACACCGGAAGGCCGAGUGUCCGCAGUUGCGCGGAGCAUCUCAGGGGUCUGCUCCUGCCGCCACCAGAGUUACAGAGAGUCGGCCUGUGAAGGCCGAGACGCCGAGAGCUCGAGGGAGAGCCUUCCAGCUGACUGCGGAGGAGGUCCGCGCUGCGCCCGAUGUUGUGGCUGGUAUGUUUCCUUUCGUGUAUUUAUUUUGACAUAUGAUGUUAUGCUUAUAUUAUGUUAUGUGUAGGUACUUUUCUUGUGAAUUCCGUACCUGCUUUAGUGUUAUUUGACUCGGGUGCGAGUCGGUCUUUUGUAUCUUUGGCCUUUAGCCAGCAUAUCAGUGCUAGUCGUGAGGCACUGAGUCGGCCUCUGAGAGUCUCCAUAGCUGAUGAUAGAGUGAUUUGUGCCACAGAGGUUUUCCGGGGAUGUGUGUUAGAGAUCUUCGGGAUUGAGUUUCCGAUUGAUCUGAUUCCUAUUGCGAUGGGCGAUGUUUGUGUCAUUGUGGGCAUGGACUGGUUGAGCCGAUUCGGCGCGAUUAUCGACUGUGAGCGUCAGCUGGUGACUAUACGAGACCCUAGUGGGGGAGUUCUUUCGGUGUACGGUGAGGGUACACGUUCGGGAUCAGCCUUUUGUUCGGCCGCCAGGGCGAGGCAGUGUCUACAGCAGGGCUGUAAGGGUUUUGUGGCGUAUGUGAUGGAUACGCGAGCGACUUCCGAGAGACCGAGUUCAGUUGGGGAGGUACCGGUGGUAUGUGAGUUUCCAGAUGUCUUUCCCGAGGAGCUGCCGGGAGUACCUCCUGUGAGGCAAGUAGAGUUUGGUAUUGAUUUGGUUCCGGGGGCUGCGCCUAUAGCUAAGGUGCCUUAUCGUCUUGCACCUCCAGAGAUGCAAGAGUUAUCCUCGCAGCUUCAGGAGUUGCUGGGGAAGGGAUUUAUUCGGCCGAGCAGCUCGCCGUGGGGAGCACCUAUUCUGUUUGUCAAGAAGAAGGAUGGUUCACACCGGAUGUGUAUUGAUUACCGGGAGUUGAACAAGCUGACGGUCAAGAACCGUUACCCGUUGCCGAGGAUCGACGAUUUAUUUGAUCAGUUGCAGGGAGCAUCUUGGUUUUCCAAGAUCGAUUUGAGGUCGGGAUAUCAUCAGGUGAGGGUGCGAGACGGGGACGUCCAGAAGACAGCUUUCAGGACGCGUUAUGGGCAUUAUGAGUUUGUGGUGAUGCCUUUUGGGCUCACCAAUGCCCCGGCGGUGUUCAUGGAUCUCAUGAACAGGGUAUGUAGGCCGAUGUUGGAUCGGUCGGUGAUUGUAUUUAUCGAUGAUAUUCUGGUGUAUUCGAGAUCUAGGGAGCAGCAUGAGGAACAUUUGAGGGAGGUCCUUGGGGUACUGAGAUCGGAGAAGCUUUAUGCAAAGUUCUCCAAGUGUGAUUUCUGGUUACGGGAGGUCCAGUUCCUAGGACAUCUCGUUAACCAGGAAGGGAUUCUGGUCGAUCCGGCCAAGGUUGAGGCGGUGAUGGGUUGGGAGGUGCCAAAGUCACCCUCUGAGAUCAGGAGCUUCCUUGGAUUAGCAGGGUAUUAUCGGAGAUUUAUCAAGGAUUUCUCCAAGAUCGCAGUGCCGCUCACCAGGUUGACCCGGAAGGGUGUUGCAUUCUCAUGGGGUCCCGAGCAGCAGACCUCCUUUGAGACACUUCGCCAGAGGUUGUGCGAAGCCCCGGUAUUAGCUCUCCCGGAAGGGAUGGAGGAUUUUGUAGUAUAUUGUGAUGCAUCGAUUUUGGGGUUGGGUGCGGUGUUGAUGCAGAGGGGUCAUGUGAUAGCAUAUGCAUCGAGGCAGCUGAAGCCUCAUGAGACGAGAUAUCCCACGCAUGAUCUAGAGUUGGGGGCAGUAGUGUUCGCCCUCAAGAUUUGGCGCCACUACUUAUAUGGGGUUCGAUGUACGAUAUACACGGACCAUAAGAGCUUGAAGUACUUGAUGGAUCAGCCCAAUCUAAACAUGCGUCAGAGGAGGUGGUUAGAUGUGGUCAAGGAUUAUGAUUGUGAGAUCCUGUACCACCCGGGCAAGGCCAACGUGGUGGCCGAUGCGUUGAGCCGCAGGGCGGAGAGCACUCCAUUGCGAGAUGUAUGUUUGAGAUUGACCAUGAUAGCUCCGGUAUUGGAUGCCAUUCGUGGGGCACAGGCCGAGGCUGUGCAGCCGGAGAUGCAGAAGAGGGAACGGGUCGUUGGUUUGGUUUCAGAAUUCGUUACGGAUGGGCGAGGGCUUAUGACUUUUCAGGGUCGGAUUUGGGUACCGUUCGUGGGUGGUACGCGCACUUCCUUGAUGGAGGAGGCUCAUCGGUCGAAAUUUUCGAUCCAUCCGGGGGCUACGAAGAUGUAUUUGGAUUUGAGGAGAGAGUAUUGGUGGCCCUGUAUGAAGAGGGACGUCGCAUGGUUCGUUGAGAGGUGCUUGACCUGUCGUAGGGUUAAGGCCGAGCACCAGAGACCACAUGGCAAGUUGCAGCCAUUGGAGGUUCCCGAAUGGAAAUGGGAACAGAUCACUAUGGAUUUCAUCACCAAAUUGCCGAGAACUGCCAGGGGAGUUGAUGCAAUUUGGGUGAUUGUGGAUAGGUUGACGAAGAGCGCUCACUUCCUUGCCAUCAGUGAGAGUUCUUCAGCAGAGAAGUUGGCAGAGUUAUAUGUGAGAGAAGUGGUAUCUCGGCAUGGGGUGCCGAUCUCGAUUGUUUCAGACCGUGAUGUGCGCUUUACUUCCAGAUUCUGGAAGAAAUUUCAUGAGGAGUUGGGUACUAGAUUGCAUUUUAGUACCGCAUAUCAUCCCCAGACAGACGGUCAGAGUGAGCGGACGAUUCAGACGCUUGAGGACAUGCUUCGAGCAUGUGUGUUGGAUUUUGGGGGUAGCUGGGAUGCGUAUCUACCCUUGGCAGAGUUUUCCUACAACAACAGCCAUCAUUCGAGCAUUGGUAUGCCACCCUUUGAGCUGUUGUAUGGUAGGAGGUGUCGGACCCCCAUUUGCUGGGGAGAGGUCGGGCAGAGAGUGAUGGGCAGUACCGAGAUCGUGCUUCAGACGACAGAGCAGAUUCAGCAGGUCAGACAGAGGUUGUUGACCGCCCAGAGUCGACAGAAGAGUUAUGCAGACAGACGCCGGUCCGAGCUUGAGUUUCAGGUCGGCGACUUCGUUCUCCUGAAGGUCUCUCCUUGGAAAGGAGUGAUUCGAUUCAGGAAGAGGGGCAAGUUGGGGCCCCGGUAUAUUGGGCCAUUUCGUGUGAUUGCGAGGGUAGGCCGGGUAGCCUAUCGUUUGGAAUUGCCAGCAGAGUUGGGGCAAAUCCACGACACUUUUCAUGUGUCGCAAUUGAGGAAAUGUAUUGCCGAUGAGUCGGCAGUAGUUCCAUUAGAGGAUAUUCAGGUGGAUGCGAGCCUGAAUUAUGCCGAGAGACCAGUAGCCAUCAGAGAUCGGAAGAUCAAGGUUCUGAGGAACAAGGAGGUACCUUUGGUGUUGGUUCAGUGGCAACACCGGAAGGGAUCAGAGAUGACCUGGGAGCCGGAGCGCGAGAUGCGGGCUCAACAUCCGGAGUUAUUUUAGAGCGAGACUUCGAGCGCGAAGUCUAAUCCUAGUGGGGGAGAAUUGUAACAGCCCGGAUCUCCAGGUAUUUUAUUGUUUUAAUAUUUUGAGUUUUGAGAAGGGACUCGGCGAGUUGGAGCUCAGACUCGCCGAGUAGGGUCGCGAUUCUGGACGCGGGAUUCGUUCGGACUCGGCGAGUCCAGGAUAUGGACUCGGCGAGUCCACGCUGUUUAAUGAAACCCUAAUUUCUCGGGUUUGGGACCUAUUUAAAUGGCCUUAUGGCCGUCAUUUGCAUCCAUCAGUCCAUAGAGAGAAACCCUAAAAGUGCUUUAGCGAUUUGAGAGUGAAAGGAGGCAUUUCUUGACAUUUGUGUGUUGUUUAGCAAAGAAGAAGGAGGCUCUAGCCAAGAGGAGGCAAAGGGGACUGCUAUUUGGUGGAUUGGAAGCUUGACCCUUCAAUCUAAAGGUAUAAUUUCGACUCAUCUCCUGUUUUGUGAAGUAUAACCGAUUUUAGGGUUUCUUGUGGCCUUGUUGAGUUGAUUUGAUGGCCAAAUAGUCCCAUGCUAGUGAUGAGACUUCGGAUCUGGAUCCAUAGAGGUCCAGAGAGCCUCAUUCUUCAAGCUUUAUAGAGAACAAUGGAGGUCAUGACCUUGUGUAGUGAGAUUUGUUGAAGAUUCUUCAUAAUUAGUCAUAUAGAGGUUGUUAAUGCAUCAAGACUAGGACUUUACGUGAUGAAUCAGUCUAGGAGGGCCAGAUCUAUGAAUUGUUGGAGUAGAUCUGACCUUAGAAGCAAGUUUGAGUGAUUGCAUGGAAUGGACUCGCCGAGUCCGAUGAGCAGACUCGGCGAGUAGCUUGAAGAUUGCCUUGGACCGGCCAGAGAGUGGUCCAGACGAGUCAGGAGUUGACCCAGUGAGUCAGGGCGAGUUAGAGAGGAUUGUCAUGUGGUCUGAGUCGAGCUGGGACUCGCCGAGUCGUUCUUGAGACUCGGCGAGUUGAGUCGGGGUGGCCCCGCGAUUCUUCCAGGUGGAACUCGUCGAGUCAGGGGGGAGUACUCGACGUGUAGAAAGGGAAUCCUAGAGAGUUGGUGAGAACGUCUAGACUCGCCGAGUUGCCGUGUGCACUCGCCGAGUCCGGUCAAAGUUGACCGUUGACCGUUGACCGUUGACCUGUGUUGACUUCUUAGGGAUAGUCAACCCUAGAGAUGAAAGUAUUAAUUAGAGUCUUGUGAUGUUAUAGGAGGAUUAGAGCUCGGAGGAUCGAGCACGAGGGAUUUCCAGGGAUUUUGAGAUACCGAGACACGCGAGGUGAGUCUUCUCACUAUACUUUACCUUGAGUAGGUAACCAGAGUUAUGUGAUAGAGUAUGUGUAUGUUAUGUGUAUGCUAUGUGUUGUACUGCAUGAUGUCUAUGUGAUUUAUGUUGUGCAUGCUUAUAGAGUUGGAACCGGUAGGUUCAUAGAGUUAGAACCUGAGGGUUCACAGAGUUGGGUGCACGGACCCAUAGAGUUAUGGCCUCGAGUGGCUGAUAUGUGUUUUAUGUGUAGUAUUUUGGGGAACUCACUAAGCUUUGUGCUUACAGUGUUAGUGUUGCUGUUUCAGGUACUAGCGAUGACCGUGGGAAGGCGCCGGCUUGAUCUGUACACAC
rnacentral:lncRNA from 1 species